rnacentral:rRNA from 1 species
UCAAACGAGAAAAGGCUUACGGUGGAUACCUAGGCACCUAGAGAUGAUGAAGGGCGCAGUGAUCGAUGAAAUGCUUUGGGGAGUUGAAAAUAAGUAUAAAUUUGGAAAUUCCCAAAUAGGGCAACCUUUCGAACUGCUGCUAAAUCCAUGGGUAGGCAAGAGACAACCUGGCGAACUGAAACAUCUUAGUAGCCAGAUAAAAAAAAGUAAAAUUGAUUCCCGUAGUAGCGACGAGUGAAAUGGGAGCAGCCUAAACCAUGAAAAUAGGAUUAUGGGAGAGCAACCCCAGUCUCGUGCUACUAGGCGAAGUAGCACGAAUGUUGCACCCUAGAUGGUGAAAGUCUAGUAGCCAAAAGCAUCACUAGCUUACACUCUGACCCGAGUAGCAAGGGACACGUGGAAUCCCAUGUGAAUCAGCAAGGACUACCUUGCAAGGCUAAAUACUCCUGGGUGAUCAAUAGCGAAGUAGUACCAUGAGGAAAGGGUGAAAAGAACCCCCAUCGGAGAGUGAAAUAGAAUAUGAAACUAUAAGCUCCUAAGCAGUGGGAAGAGCAAGGUCUCUGGCCGCGUGCCUGUUGAAGAAUGAGCCAACGACUCAUAGGCAGUGGCUUGGUUAAGGAAACCUAUUGGAGCCACCGUGAAAGCGAGUCUUCAUAGGGCAAUUAUCACUGCUUAUGGACCCGAACCUGGGUGAUCUAUCCAUGACUAGGAUAAAGCUUAGGUGAAACUAACUGGAGGUCCACACUUACUGAUGUUGAAGAAUUAGCGGAUGAGUUGUGGUUAGGGGUGAAACGCCACUCGAACCCAGAGUUAGCUGGUUCUCCCUGAAAUGCGUUGAGGCACAACAGUUGGCUGGACAUCUAAGGAUAAAGCACUAUUUCAGUGCGAACCGUGAGAGCGGUACCAAAUUGAGGAAAACUCUGAAUACUAGAUAUGACCUCAAAAUAAUAGGGGUCAAGGUCGGCCAGUGAGACGAUGGGAGAUAAGCUUCAUCGUUGAGAGGGAAACAACCCAGAUCACCAGCUAAGGCCCCUAAAUGAUCGCUCAGUGAUAAAGAAGGUUGGGGUGUAGAGACAGCCAAAAGGUUUGUCUAGAAGCAACCACCCUUGAAAGAGUGCGUAAUAGCUCACUGAUCGAGUGCUCUUGCACCGAAGAUGAAUGAGGCUAAACGAUCUGUCGAAGUUGUGGGAUGUAAAAAUACAUUGGUAGGGAGCGUUCCGCCUUAGAAGGAAGCCCCCGCGUGAGCAGUGGUGGAUGAAGCAAAAGCGAGAAUGUUGACUUGAGUAACGCAAACAUUGGUGAGAAUCAAAUGCCCCGAAAACCUAAGGGUUCCUCCUCAUGGUUCAUCCACAGGGGGUGAGUUAGGGCCUAAGAUCAGGCCGAAAGGCAUAGUCGAUAGACAACAGGUGAAUAUUCCUGUACUACCCUUUGGUCUCGAGGGAUGGAGGAGGGUACGUUAGUCAAAAGUUGGUUAUCGGUUCAAGAACGUAAGAUGCCCCUACUUUUUCAGGGUAAGAAGGGUUAGAGAGAAUGCCUCGAGCUAAUUUUCAAGCACCAGGCGCUACGGCAUUAAAGUAACCCACGCCAUACUCCCAGGAAAAGCUCGAACAACCUUUAAACAAAAGGGUGCAUGUACCCAAAACCGACAUAGGUAGGUAGGUAGAGAAUACCUAGGGACGUGAGAUAAUUCUCUCUAAGGAACUCGGCAAAAUAGCCCCGCAACUUCGAGAGAAGGGGUGCCUCUUUACAAAGAGGGUCGUAGUGACUAGGCUCGGGCGACUGUUUACCAAAAACACAGGUCUCCGUGAAGUCAUAAGACCAUGUAUGGGGGUUGACGCUUGCCCAGUGUCGAAAGGUCAAGGAAGUUGGUGGCCUGAUGAUUGGGGAGCUAGUGACCGAAGCCCCGGUGAAUGGUGGCCGUAACUAUAAUGGUCCUAAGGUAGCAAAAUUCAUUGUCGGGUAAGUUUUGAUUCGCACGAAAGGCGUAACGAUCCAGGCACUAUCUUGGAGAUUGGCUCGGUGAAAUAGACAUGUCUGUGAAGAUGCGGACUACCUGCACCUGAACAGAAAGACCCUAUGAAGCUUCACUGUUCCCUGGGAUUGGGUUUGGGCCUUUCCUGCGCAGCUUAGGCAGAAGGAGAAGAAGGCCUCCUUCCAGGGGGGGAGCCAUCAGUGAGAUACAACUCUAGAAGAGCUAGAAUUCUAACCUUGUGUUAGGACCUAUGGGCCAAGGGAGAGUCUUAGGUAGACAAUUUCUAUGGGGUGUAGGCCUCUCAAAAGGUAACGGAGGCGUACAAAUGUUUCCUCGGGCAUGACGAAGAUUGGCCCUCGAGUGCAAAGGCAGAAGGGAGCUUGAUGACAAGACCCACCCGUCGAGGAGGGACGAAAGUCGACCUUAGUGAUUCGACGAUGCUGAGUGGAAGGGCCGUUGCUCAACGGAUAAAAGUUACUCUAGGGAUAAUAGGCAGAUCUUCACCAAGAGCUCACAUCGAUGGGAAGGUUUGGCACCUCGAUAUCGGCUCUUCGCCACCUGGGGUUGUAGUAUUUCCAAGGAUUGGGCUGUUUACCCAUUAAACUGGUACGUGAAUUGGUUCAGAGCAUCAUGAGAUAGUUUGGUCCAUAUUUGUUGUGGGCGUUAGAGCAUUGAGAGGACCUUUCCCUAGUACGAGAGGAAUAGGAAGGACACACAUAUGGUGUACCAGUUAUCGUGCCCACGGUAAACGCUGGGUAGAUAACUGUUGAAAGCAUCUAUGUAGUAAGCCGACCCCAAGAUGAGUGCUCUUCUAUUCCGACUUUCCCAGAGCUUCUGACAGCAUAGCUGAGAUAGGGAUAGGUUCUUUACCCCUGCGGGGAUGGAGCGAUAGAAGUUUUGAGAAUCCAAGAGAAGGUAACGGUGAGACGAGCUGUUUAUCAUUACAAUAGGUGUCAAGUGGAAGUGCAGUGAUGUAUGUAGCUGGGGCAUCCUAACAGAUUGAUAGACUUGAACCU